rnacentral:rRNA from 1 species
UACGUAGGGGGCAAGCGUUGUCCGGAUUUAUUGGGCGUAAAGAGCUCGUAGGCGGUUCGAUAAGUCGGGUGUGAAACCUCCAGGCUCAACCUGGAGACGCCACCCGAUACUGUCGUGACUAGAGUCCAGUAGGGGAGCGUGGAAUUCCUGGUGUAGCGGUGAAAUGCGUAGAGAUCAGGAAGAACACCAGUGGCGAAGGCGCUCUGCUAGGCCGUAACUGACACUGAGGGACGAAAGCUAGGGGAGCGAAUGGG